GUUAGGAAUAUUGGACAAUGGACGCAAGUCUGAUCCAGCCAUGCCGCGUGAGUGAUGAAGGCCUUCGGGUUGUAAAGCUCUUUAGCCGAUGAUUAUAAUGACUGUAGUCGGAAAAUAAGCCCCGGCUAACUUCGUGCCAGCAGCCGCGGUAAUACGAAGGGGGCGAGCGUUAUUCGGAAUCACUGGGCGUAAAGCGUGCGUAGGCGGUUUUGUAAGUUAGGAGUGAAAGCCCAGGGCUCAACCUUGGAAUUGCUCUUAAAACUGCAAGGCUCGAAUCUCGGAGAGGAUAGCGGAAUUUCCAGUGUAGCAGUGAAAUGCGUAGAUAUUGGAAGGAACACCAGUGGCGUAAGCGGCUAUCUGGACGAGUAUUGACGCUGAGGCACGAAAGCGUGGGGAUCAAACAGGAUUAGAAACCCCGGUAGUCC
rnacentral:rRNA from 1 species